rnacentral:rRNA from 1 species
GACGAACGCUGGCGGCGUGCUUAACACAUGCAAGUCGAACGGAAAGGCCCUGCUUUUGUGGGGUGCUCGAGUGGCGAACGGGUGAGUAACACGUGAGUAACCUGCCCUUGACUUUGGGAUAACUUCAGGAAACUGGGGCUAAUACCGGAUAGGAGCUCCUGCUGCAUGGUGGGGGUUGGAAAGUUUCGGCGGUUGGGGAUGGACUCGCGGCUUAUCAGCUUGUUGGUGGGGUAGUGGCUUACCAAGGCUUUGACGGGUAGCCGGCCUGAGAGGGUGACCGGCCACAUUGCGACUGAGAUACGGCCCAGACUCCUACGGGAGGCAGAAGUGGAGAGUAUUGCACAAUGGGCGGAAGCCUGAUGCAGCAACGCCGCGUGCGGGAUGACGGCCUUCGGGUUGUAAACCGCUUUCGCCUGUGACGAAGCGUGAGUGACGGUAAUGGGUAAAGAAGCACCGGCUAACUACGUG